GUGCUCACUUCGGCAGCACAUACACUAAAAUUGGAACGAUACAGAGAAGAUUAGCAUGGCCCCUGCACAAGGUUGGCAUGCAAAUUCGUGAAGCAUUCCAUAUUAAA
rnacentral:snRNA from 1 species